GUGCUCUGAUUUGCUUAUUGCACCACAUGUGUUUUUCUUUGAAACAAACUUGCUUUGGCGGUGGGCCCAGCCUGCCGCCAGAGGUCUAAACUUACAACCAAUUUUUUAUCAACUUGUCACACCAGAUUAUUACUAAUAGUCAAAACUUUCAACAACGGAUCUCUUGGUUCUCGCAUCGAUGAAGAACGCAGCGAAAUGCGAUACGUAAUAUGAAUUGCAGAUAUUCGUGAAUCAUCGAAUUUUUGAACGCACAUUGCGCCCUCUGGUAUUCCGGAGGGCAUGCCUGUUUGAGCGUCGUUUCUCCCUCAAACCGCUGGGUUUGGUGUUGAGCAAUACGACUUGGGUUUGCUUGAAAGACGGUAGUGGUAAGGCGGGAUCGCUUUGACAAUGGCUUAGGUCUAACCAAAAACAUUGCUUGCGGCGGUAACGUCUACCACGUAUAUCUUCAAACUUUGACCUCAAAUCAGGUAGGACUACCCGCUGAACUUAAGCAUAUCAAUAAGCGGGAGGAA
rnacentral:rRNA from 1 species